GAAGGUAUAGCUCAGUGGUAGAGUGCAUGCCUAGCAUGCACAAGGUCUUGGGUUCAGUCCCCAGAACCUCCA
rnacentral:tRNA from 1 species